rnacentral:ncRNA from 2 species
AGGGGUACCUGCGGAAGGAUCAUUA